rnacentral:tRNA from 1 species
UAAGACAUUAAUUUUUUCAUUGCGUGGUAAAUCGCGCUUAGUAAUCUGAAUUUCACCUUCAUAACGUUGAUAUA